GAUGAACGCUAGCUACAGGCUUAACACAUGCAAGUCGAGGGGCAGCAUGAACAUAGCUUGCUAUGUUUGAUGGCGACCGGCGCACGGGUGCGUAACACGUAUCCAAUCUACCCAUGGCCCGGGGAUAGCCUUUCGAAAGAAAGAUUAAUACCCGAUGGUCUCGGUUUAAGGCAUCUUAGACUGAGUAAAGAUUUAUCGGCGAUGGAUGAGGAUGCGUCUGAUUAGGUAGAUGGCGGGGUAACGGCCCACCAUGCCUACGAUCAGUAGGGGUUCUGGGAGGAAGGUCCCCCGCAUUGGAACUGAGACGCGGUCCAAGCUCGUACGGGAGGCAGCAGUGAGGAAUAUUGGUCAAUGGACGGGAGUCUGAACCAGCCAAGUAGCGUGAAGGAUGACUGCCCUAUGGGUUGUAAACUUCUUUUGUUUGGGAAUAAAGUUCGGGACGUGUCCCGUUUUGUAUGUACCAUUCGAAUAAGCAUCGGCUAAUUCCGUGCCAGCAGCCGCCGUAAGAC
rnacentral:rRNA from 1 species